AGAGUUUGAUCAUGGCUCAGGACGAACGCUGGCGGCGUGCUUAACACAUGCAAGUCGAACGGAAAGGCCCUGCUUUUGUGGGGUGCUCGAGUGGCGAACGGGUGAGUAACACGUGAGUAACCUGCCCUUGACUUUGGGAUAACUUCAGGAAACUGGGGCUAAUACCGGAUAGGAGCUCCUGCUGCAUGGUGGGGGUUGGAAAGUUUCGGCGGUUGGGGAUGGACUCGCGGCUUAUCAGCUUGUUGGUGGGGUAGUGGCUUACCAAGGCUUUGACGGGUAGCCGGCCUGAGAGGGUGACCGGCCACAUUGGGACUGAGAUACGGCCCAGACUCCUACGGGAGGCAGCAGUGGGGAAUAUUGCACAAUGGGCGGAAGCCUGAUGCAGCAACGCCGCGUGCGGGAUGACNGCCUUCGGGUUGUAAACCGCUUUCGCCUGUGACGAAGCGUGAGUGACGGUAAUGGGUAAAGAAGCACCGGCUAACUACGUGCCAGCAGCCGCGGUGAUACGUAGGGUGCGAGCGUUGUCCGGAUUUAUUGGGCGUAAAGGGCUCGUAGGUGGUUGAUCGCGUCGGAAGUGUAAUCUUGGGGCUUAACCCUGAGCGUGCUUUCGAUACGGGUUGACUUGAGGAAGGUAGGGGAGAAUGAAAUUCCUGGUGGAGCGGUGGAAUGCGCAGAUAUCAGGAGGAACACCAGUGGCGAAGGCGGUUCUCUGGGCCUUUCCUGACGCUGAGGAGCGAAAGCGUGGGGAGCGAACAGGCUUAGAUACCCUGGUAGUCCACGCUGUAAACGGUGGGUACUAGGUGUGGGGUCCAUUCCACGGGGUUCCGUGCCGUA
rnacentral:rRNA from 1 species